rnacentral:lncRNA from 1 species
UCUGACUGCAGUGUAAGCCGGAUUACGCCAAUACGACCAGUGUUGCUUCCAUAGACAAGCCAUACAUUGGGUCCAAAAUGGCUGUGAGAAUUCAGAAUCAAAAUGCAGGUCACUUGUACCAGGUCGCGGCACGCUUAGUUCAUCAAUCAAGGCUUUGUUUCUCCUGUAGAGGUCUGACUUCUUGUACAAUUCAGUAAAAUCAACUCCUAAUGCCAUUUCUUGAGAUGAGGCUGUGACUUCUAACAUCCAAGUUGCUGGAUUGUAACCUUCCACUAUUUUGCUUACUCCAGGUAUCGACUGAAAUCGUAACAAAUCUAAGCUUAGUUCUUGAUCAUAGAAACUCAGUAAAAGGAACUUAUUUUGUAUAAAGAAACUUACCUCAAAAUAUUUUAUCAAAUGGCAUGAUUGGCGGCCUAAUGGACCAACGUAUAUCUCUUGUCCUCCUCGUUUCAUAAGAAACAACUGUAAAGAUGUAUUUUUCAUAUUAGUAUCUAAUAUCUAAAGGGAAAAGCAUAAGAAAAACCAGAAAUAGAUGCAAAAGGUGUUCAAUUCACCUCGUCGAAAGCCUCAAAAAUGUCAAUGCUCGGCUGAUGAAUGGUACAAACAACGGUUCUUCCUGUAUCGACAGUGUUCCUAACAGCUCUCAUCACAAUGGCAGCAGCUCUUGCAUCUAACCCUGAAGUUGGCUCAUCCAUAAAAAUGAUAGAGGGGUUUGCCACUAGUUCAACUGCAAUCGUCAACCUUUUACGUUGCUCAGUUGACAGACCGUUGACUCCUGGCAACCCGACUAAGGCUGAUCUUAAUGGUGUAAGCUCCACAAGAUCCAUAACUUCAUCAACAAACAUCUGCAAUGAGAUAAUCAGUAAAAAAUUCUGUCAACUGCCACUUUAUUUAUAAGAUAAAUUCUCAUUAUGGAGUAAUGUAAGGGGAACUUACCAUCCUUUUUUGUUCAUCGAUGUCUUGAGGUAAACGCAGCCAAGCUGAGUAAACCAAUGACUCAAAAACUGUUACAUACGGUGAAUGGAUGUCAUUCUGUUCACAGUAUCCGGAAAUACGUGCAAAUGUUUCUUGCUUCUUGGGGUAUCCAGAAAUCUUGAUGCUCCCGUCAAUGUAACCUCCAGUUUUCCUUCCAGCCAAGACAUCCAUCAAGGUUGUUUUACCAGCACCACUAACACCCAUCAAAGCUGUGAGAACACCUGGCCUGAAAGCGCCACUUACACUCUUCAAAAGUACCAAUCUAUUGUCACUGGUACCUGACUCACUCAUUUCCUGCAUGUCAUCAGAAAAUUUAGUCACAUUUUGAUUUGAAGAAUGUUGAAGCACCAGUUUUUGAUGACUAGCAAUUUUUCGUUAAUUACCGGAGGCAUAUCAACGGAGUAUACAACUUCAUCAAAGGUGAUGGAGUGGGGAUCAAAUGGUAGAACCAUUCCCUUCUUCUUAUUCUCACUGACAGAAUCUCCUUCUUGUGUGCUAGUUAUCUGGGGUGAUGAUUCAGUAUUUUCGUUGUUCUCACUCUCGUCUGAAAUCGUAGCUUGUGGCUUAUCAAAUGCUGCAGAUACUCACUCCAUGUUAGUACAUGUCAUCUUUUUAUUUAAGGAUAUAUCGAUGAAGAAAAUCAUGGACACUCACGGUUAAGAUAAGCGAGAGCAACACUGUAGGCGAUGUUAAACAUAACUGUGAAUCCAGCAAGUGCCCCUACACCUAUCCAGUACCAAUAUGCAUCGGGGAAGAACCCUCGAGCUCUUACCACUGCAGCUCCAAGCGGCUCAGUUCCACCGGCUACAAUCUGUUUUACAAGAGAGUUGAUUCAGCAUUUAUACUUGAAGAACUUUUAUUACUUGCAAGGAGUAUAGGUAUUGAAAGUUACAUGUUUCCACUUUUGCCCAUCAAAUUCAUUCACAAGAAUUGCAUUCACAGAAUACAUCAACGGUGACGUCCAGUAUCCCCAAAUCCACCAAUCCUUCACAUCAUCUACACCAUUUUGGAGAAAAGAGAAAGUAAACAUUAGUCAUUGUACAAGACAAGAGCUAUGUAUUUCAAACGUCUAAAUCACAAACUUACUUCGCGCAAGCAUAAAACCGCCCAAUGCAAAUUGUAAAAGAAGAGCAAAUGCUCCAAAUGUGCUAGCAACUCCCAUGGUCCUUCCUACUGCUGCGAUAAAUCUGAACAACGCUGAUGCCAUCUGGUUUACUAGUAAGAGUAGCAAAAAUUGUUUGAAAAACCUGCAUAUAAGAUAGUCGAUCAAUAAUCAUGGGAGAAACCAUACUUGUGACAGUAAGCCAAUGAAUAUAUACCAUAGUCUUUCUUCACUUACCUUCCAACAUUGGGAUCAAAUCCGAUAACAUAAUACGUGAGGAACACCCACAUCCCAACUUCAGCAAAAGUUACAGGGAUUUUGAGGAUCCAUGAGGGAAUCGCGUAAGCCCAUGAAGGAUAGAAGAGAAAGUCCCUUUGCUUGUAGAAGACCGGAAGCUUGUAAAGUGUCAUAGGG